rnacentral:ncRNA from 1 species
ACUCCCUCGGGAUAGGUGGAGCUUUCGUGCUAGUUCUAUUAGGUAAAGCCAAUAAUUAGAGGCCUCGGGGUUUCCCUGCCCUCGACUUAUUCUCAAACUUUAAAUAGGUGUAUUUAGCCUUGGACGGAAUUCACCGCCCGAUUUGGGCUGCAUUCUCCAAGUGGGCCAUUUUUGGUAAGCAGAACUGGCGAUGCGGGAUGAACCGGAAGCCGGGUUACGGUGCCAAAUGCGCGCUAACCUAGAUCCCACAAAGGGUGUUGGUCUUGUCUUAUAAUGGCGUUUUAAUCCAAGUUCGGGGUGUCUAUUUACUGUUAAGGUGUUUAACGGAACCGAUUAAUCUCCGGUGAAG